rnacentral:rRNA from 1 species
UACGUAGGGUGCAAGCGUUAAUCGGAAUUACUGGGCGUAAAGCGUGCGCAGGCGGUUAUGCAAGACAGAUGUGAAAUCCCCGGGCUUAACCUGGGAACUGCAUUUGUGACUGCAUAGCUAGAGUACGGUAGAGGGGGAUGGAAUUCCGCGUGUAGCAGUGAAAUGCGUAGGUAUGCGGAGGAACACCGAUGGCGAAGGCAGUCCCCUGGACCUGUACUGACGCUCAUGCACGAAAGCGUGGGGAGCAAACAGG